rnacentral:sRNA from 1 species
CCGGAGCAGAGCCACACUAAGUGAAGACAAGAAGCACUACAUCCUCAAUGGCUCCAAGGGUCCCGCUCUGUCACCCAGGCUGGAGUGCAGUGGCACGAUCUUGGCUCACUGCAGCCUCAACUUCCUGGGCUCAGGUCUGGAUUACUAAUGGAGGACUGGCCAAUAUUUUUACUGUCUUUGCAAAGACUGAGGUCGUUGAUUCUGAUGGAUCAGUGAAAGACAAAAUCACAGCAUUCAUAGUAGAAAGAGACUUUGGUGGAGUCACUAAUGGGAAACCCGAAGAUAAAUUAGGCAUUCGGGGCUCCAACACUUGUGAAGUCCAUUUUGAAAACACCAAGAUACCUGUGGAAAACAUCCUUGGAGAGGUCGGAGAUGGGUUUAAGGUGGCCAUGAACAUCCUCAACAGCGGCCGGUUCAGCAUGGGCAGCGUCGUGGCUGGGCUGCUCAAGAGAUUGAUUGGUAGAAAUGACUGCUGAGUACGCCUGCACAAGGAAACAGUUUAACAAGAGGCUCAGUGAAUUUGGAUUGAUUCAGUUUCUUGUGUUUUUUCUGAACACUCCAGGAGAAAUUUGCACUGAUGGCUCAGAAGGCUUACGUCAUGGAGAGUAUGACCUACCUCACAGCAGGGAUGCUGGACCAACCUGGCUUUCCCGACUGCUCCAUCGAGGCAGCCAUGGUGAAGGUGUUCAGCUCCGAGGCCGCCUGGCAGUGUGUGAGUGAGGCGCUGCAGAUCCUCGGGGGCUUGGGCUACACAAGGGACUAUCCGUACGAGCGCAUACUGCGUGACACCCGCAUCCUCCUCAUCUUCGAGGGAACCAAUGAGAUUCUCCGGAUGUACAUCGCCCUGACGGGUCUGCAGCAUGCCGGCCGCAUCCUGACUACCAGGAUCCAUGAGCUUAAACAGGCCAAAGUGAGCACAGUCAUGGAUACCGUUGGCCGGAGGCUUCGGGACUCCCUGGGCCGAACUGUGGACCUGGGGCUGACAGGCAACCAUGGAGUUGUGCACCCCAGUCUUGCGGACAGUGCCAACAAGUUUGAGGAGAACACCUACUGCUUCGGCCGGACCGUGGAGACACUGCUGCUCCGCUUUGGCAAGACCAUCAUGGAGGAGCAGCUGGUACUGAAGCGGGUGGCCAACAUCCUCAUCAACCUGUAUGGCAUGACGGCCGUGCUGUCGCGGGCCAGCCGCUCCAUCCGCAUUGGGCUCCGCAACCACGACCACGAGGUUCUCUUGGCCAACACCUUCUGCGUGGAAGCUUACUUGCAGAAUCUCUUCAGCCUCUCUCAGCUGGACAAGUAUGCUCCAGAAAACCUAGAUGAGCAGAUUAAGAAAGUGUCCCAGCAGAUCCUUGAGAAGCGAGCCUAUAUCUGUGCCCACCCUCUGGACAGGACAUGCUGAGGCAGGGGACAGUGUCCCCUGCUGCCGCCCGCCCCUACCCAUGGCCCGUUGCUGGAUGACUGUUACUCUUUUUUCAGAAGGUGUUGGGAUUAUCACAGGUUAAGCCUUUUGUUCCCCCAUCUGCACCUGAAGGGUUGUCGCCUGGCCUGGGAGAGCCUCUUCCAGGUUUUGACCUGCAGGCAGUGCUCUCUAAUAGGACCAUCACAGCUUCUGAACUGAGCUGGAGAGAGAGAAUGGAAUUGCUGACCCCUGGAACUGGCGGGUAUUCUGGUCAUUGAGGAGACACCAUAGUGGAAACUGGGGCUUAUGCUGCUGCCUCCAGGGCGUGAGGUGGGUGGGGACCUGUGUCAGGUGUGGAUAGCCAUUUCUGCUCAACCACACAUUCUCUAAGAAACAGCUUGAAAGCUCUGUCUGGGUCAUUCAUUUAAACUAGAAGCAGAGGCACUUAAAACAUGUACUAGGAACCAUUUAACAAAGAAUAUAAAAUGUCACAAUCUG